rnacentral:misc_RNA from 1 species
CGAGCGUCAUUACAACCCUCAAGCUCUGCUUGGUAUUAGGCAUCACCUGCUACAGGCGUGCCUUAAAAUCAGUGGCGGUGCCAUUUGGCUCCAAGCGUAGUAAUUUCUUCGGCUUAGGAGUACCAAUUGCGUGCCCGCUAGAAAUACCCAAUUUAUCAAAGGUUGACCUCGGAUCAGGUAGGGAUACCCGCUGAACUUAA